rnacentral:rRNA from 1 species
UACGGAGGGGGCUAGCGUUGUUCGGAAUUACUGGGCGUAAAGCGCACGUAGGCGGCUUUGUAAGUUAGAGGUGAAAGCCCGGGGCUCAACUCCGGAAUUGCCUUUAAAACUGCAUCGCUAGAAUUGUGGAGAGGUAAGUGGAAUUCCGAGUGUAGAGGUGAAAUUCGUAGAUAUUCGGAGGAACACCAGUGGCGAAGGCGACACGCUGGGCCAUACCUGACGCUAAAGCGCGACAGCAUGGGGAGCAAACGGG